rnacentral:rRNA from 1 species
UACGUAGGGUCCGAGCGUUGUCCGGAAUUAUUGGGCGUAAAGGGCUCGUAGGCGGUUUGUCGCGUCGGGAGUGAAAACCAGAGGCUUAACUUCUGGCUUGCUUUCGAUACGGGCAGACUUGAGGCAUGCAGGGGAGAACGGAAUUCCUGGUGUAGCGGUGAAAUGCGCAGAUAUCAGGAGGAACACCGGUGGCGAAGGCGGUUCUCUGGGCAUGUUCUGACGCUGAGGAGCGAAAGUGUGGGGAGCAAACAGG